UUUACAUCCUUAUCUGGGAUUAUGGGAAAACAGAAUUGAUGGAUGGAGAGAGAUAAAGUAGAGAUAAGCAGAUGACACAGACAGAGAGAGAACACACACCAGGUUUAUCCUCAAGAAACAGAGAAGUAUCUGCUUUUCCAGUUUUCCAAUUUUAAUUCCAGCCUCUGUGACAAAGCUGUGCCUCAUUUACAGUACAGGGCUGUCCAUGGGAUAACUUGAUGCCACCUUUCGACUCACAUUGUAAUGAAUGGGCUCUUGUUCUUUGAAUUACAAGGAUACGUUUCAAGAGGACUGUGAUUUCAAAGUGAACUCUACAAAAUCCUCCUCUGAAAUAUACGUGUGGAGUGGCACAGUGGGUGAGUGCUUCUAUACAUACACAUACACAAGAUAUAUUAGAUGUAAUAUAUCAAUAAUAUAUUACCAUCAUAUUAAUAACAUUAUAUAUACAUUCCUUCAUUCUGCAGGUACCUUCAGUUUCACUUUCUGACCGUUGUGCUUUACUGUGCACAAUGUAAGUAAUAGAAAGAGUUGAAGACAGGAGAAAGGUAAUUGAAUUACUUCUAGAAAAAACAAGGCCAAGUGUUAGAGAUACACCACCAACUUAGAGGCAGUGAAUUGAACGAAUUGUAACUAAGGAAGAGAGUGAAGGUGCCACUAAGGAAGUAACUCUAUUCUUUAAAAUGGAACCAGAAUAAUAAAUUAUUACUUUCUCAACAAAAGUCACAAAGAUUUAUGACAAAUGCCUGCCAAAACACUAAAGAGGAGAAGCCAAAAUAAGGCUGGCAGUUACAGGAGGAAAAAUAGAGCCUCUUAGUAUGUGAGAAAGGUUUCCUUUACCCUCAUCAAAGACGAAGCAUUAUUAUGUACCAAUGGCUGACUAUGGGUAGCUGAGAUGGAAAUAACAGAAUGCAAACUACAUGUGCUGCAGGAAUGAAAAAGUAACAAUAAACGUCGCAAGCAAAAGGAAAGCUGAAAGUGGAGAGACACAAAUCUUGCAGCAUGAUAUCCAAUAAAGGUUCUGCAUAAGGCCUCUGGGGAAGGAGACUGUCACCUUUCAUCCUCCUCCUUUCAUUAAUAUGCCCUACAGCUGCAUGAAUGAGGACAUUCUUUAAAGGUUUUGAUAGCCUGGCAUAAUUUUUAACACCCAGAAGUAGCUAAUAAGGCAGCAGAAUGUAGUGGGUAAACUGAAAGUCUCUCAGAGCCAUGUUGCUUGGGUAUGAGUCCUCACCCAGCUCUUUGACCUUGGGAAAAUCAUUCAGCUUUCUGUGCCUCAGUUUCCUUCUGUGUCAAAUGGGGGGUACAUGAAGUUGUUUUGAUGAUUCAAUAAGUGUGUGUGUGUGUGUGUUUAAAACAGAGCCUAGUGCAUAUUUAAUGCCAAUAUAUCAUUUUGUAUUAUUUAAUAUUUUAACCUUGUUGACUGGUCUUAUACAAAACGACCCAUAAAUUUUAACUCUGUACUUAAAACAACAGUAAAAUGAAAACUCAAUAAACACAGUGGCAUCACUUAAUGAAAUGUCUGUAUACAGAUGGGGCAGAAAGUGGGAAACACUGGGUAACAGUUAAAGAAACCAGACCAGUCCUACAAUAAGGGGUAAUUAUGGAAAGAAGUAGCUUACAGAAGUGGCACAUUGAGAGCAAUGUGGUUUUGCAGUUCUACAAGGUACGUAUAGGAGAGAGACAGCUGAGGAGUGGAAGGCAAUCAGCAGAGUGUUCCAAUCUUCUAACAAUACAAGUAUUUCUAGGUGGGUAACAGUAACAAAGACAGUCUUAGGAUGGCCUCAAACCAACUUCAUAAGCCCUGUUCCAGUUAUUGAAGAUCCAGCCUGUCUGUAAUCUUAAAAAAUGUCUCAAAGAAAGAAAAGAGUAAUGAAUAGAUUUGUUCUUUAUGCGAGUUAAAAACUUAAUAUUAUUAUGGCAGCUUCAAAGUAGAUGGACAUGUUGGCUUUGUUGCCCUUCAUCCUGUACUCUAGUUGAAAAGUCCGAACCCAAUGAUUUGUCCCUGUGUGCUGUAAAAUUCUUAAUCAGAGCUAAGUAGAAUAAGUAGUCUUUGUUUCUGAAGCCUGUUCAAAGAAAGACUUAUGUGAAUAGCAACUCUGAUUGUGAAGAGGACUUAAGAGUUGAGGCUAAAAUUAAUCCGAUUCUAAAUGUCACUUAAUAAGUCAGCAAAACAAAGACAGACUGGAAUCGUUAGUUGCGCCCAGCAAAACUUCUUUGAACCUCAUAAAUUCAAUUUCUUAUGGUUAUUUUUUUGUUUGUUUAACUAAGGAGUUAAAUGGUAUUAAAAUCAAGCUGAAACCAGUGAGGAAAUUUUUAAAAGUAUAUUUUAGUUAAACCUGACACCUCUUUUGGAUAGAAAUGCCAGGUGCAUUGCUUUUCACAUGAUUUCAGCUCAUUGCAAAGUGUGUGAGCAUACAAGGAUCCUUGAGAAUUUACUAGGCAAAUAAUAAUCAUUUAAAUUGCCUUUAAAAUGUCAAAUCUGCUCCAUAUUGAGGGCUGACAAUUUGAAAAAAAUAUUUUUGCUGGUUUUACAAGAAUGGUAAAACUCUAGAAAUAAGUAUGAUUCUGUUCUAUUUGACUGCUAUAUACAUGUUAUAUUCCACAGAAAUAUGAAAAUUAUAUACAAUGACCUACAUGAUAGCAUAAUAUAAAUAUUCAAAAACUGCUACAUCAACAGGCUAUUUAAUGUAACUUUGGAUUACUAAAAUCUAUAAAGAUAUAGAAACUGGGUAUCUCCUAUCCCCUCCCCACAUCUCUUCUCUGUAUCAAAGAAAGGUAAAAUGUCCAAGAAGUUAAAACAGUCAGUGACACCACAGGCAGGUUCUCUGUAAGGUCAGCAGCAUCACAGUGGCAGCUAGGUGAUUUUAUGAGACUUCCUGUGGGAUAGGUUUAAUGGGACUUGCACUAAAGGAUUACCCACCAUUUCUGUCAAAAUGGAAAAUGAAAAAUUCUCCCAGGAGUAGCUAUUUCCAGUGGCCAAAUUAUAAUCAGUUAAUGAAAGCAUGGAAGUGGGGUUGAUUUUAUACUCCAGACUGCUUUCUCCUCAAGUUUACAGGAAAUUUUCAGGGAGUGAAUUUACAUAUAUGAUUUCCCAGAAACAGUGGAUUCACUUAUAAGUGUCAUCUCAAGGUUGGUGGCAAUGGGAGAAAUGAGGGAAGAUUACUGACUUCUCUACUCGGGGUGGUGCUGGAGGUGAGGUUGUCAAUUAUAUUCACCACUGUUUUAGCAUCCCAAAAUAUUGUGAGUUGAUAGUGCAAGAAACAUGUAUGUGAUUAUUUUUUUCUUUUGUAUCAUACCAGGUAAAUGCUAGAUGGCUAUUAGAAUAAAAAUUAAUGAGGAAGGGGAGAUAUUCUUGAGUAUUCUUCUGUUCUUUUGAUCAAUGGUAUUAAAGGAGCUUUUUUUUUUUUUUCCACUGACAGCCUCUGGAUGUUGUCACCUUAUCAUUUUUACACAGUCUAUGAUAAAUCACUUAGUAGUGAGAAAGUUGUAAAAUUGCCUUGACAUUUAAAAAAUAGCAUUUUGUUUCUACUCUAAAGUAGUUAGACAUGUUUUAAAAUAAAGUAGAUCAAAAUGAGGAAGAAAAAUUAUUAUAUGAACCAGUCUAAGUAAUACAAUUUUAGCAAAAUGUUUAUUUAUACAAAGAACAAUUACAUAUCUUCAGCUUUUGCCCCCAUUUUUAGAAUUGGUCUUCUCUGUUAAAAUGCUAUUUUUAAUUUAAAAACAUCGAGUAUUGUUUACAUGGGUUUAUUCAAUCCAAAUAAAAUAAGUGAUAUUAGAUGUUAUUUGGUUAGUGUGCAAAUAAUUCUAAAUUUUAAAAUUGCCUCAAUAUUCUUAGUGGGCUAUUUAAUCAUUGGGAAUUAAUUUAGUAAUAAAUGCUAUGAAAGCAAAAAAAAAAAAAGGAAGGAUUGGAAAGUAAAAUAAUUCUUGUGUUCUAAAAGAGUACCAAUUUUAUAUUAUAAUAAUAAUUUACUAAAUAGGAAGUUAAUAGCUGAGAAAUCAUUUAUAUCACUUUCCAAACAAUUUUAGGCCUGUUACGAGACCAGGCUUACACAAAUAGAAUGUUUAUGGUGUUAUUAUAUUUUCAGUGAAUACCGGAUAAAAUGAUUUUCAUUCAAGGCACUGUAAUACAGUGGGGAACAGGAAAUAAAUAGAAAACAACAAUGUAAACAAGGUGAUUCUUUUUCUUCCUUUUAAUUUUAAAAGUAACAUAUCAAUACAAAUGAUAAUCCAGAAAAAGGGAGAAAAAAAUAUACACAAUCCACCACCCAGCACAAUUAAUUCAUUAUUAAUUAUUGCAUUUUGAGGUAUGCCUAUAUACAUAUUUUAGCUAUAAAAUAAAUGGCCAUAUUCGUAGUAUAUACAGUUAUAUGUUGAUUGAUGACAGGGACACAUUCUGAGAAAUGCAUCACUAGGCAAUUCUGUCAUUGUGCAAACAUCAUGGACUAUAAUUACACAAACCUAGAUGGUCCGGCCUACUACACACCUAGGCUAUAUAGCAUAGCCCAUCAUGUCUAGGGUACAAACCUGUGCAGCAAGUUACUGUACUGAAUACUCUAAAGUGUUACUCUACAGUAAUAUAUUAGUGUAUCUGAACAUAUCUAAACAUAGAGAAGGUAUUCUAAGAUAUUGUAUUUUAAUCUUAUGAGACCAAAGCAGACGCUGUCUGUUUCCAUGACAAGGUAUUGUAGGUUUAGUUAAUGCCAGUGGAGGUUAGGAUGCCAUGGUUGGAGUGGAUUUAGUAUAUUAGCCAGCCAUGACCUAGACAUGGUAGCAACAAAGAAAGAGAAAGAUAAGUUUUGGGGAACUUGACUAUCAUGAAGUACACAGAGAGAGGGUGAAGAUGUUUAGUACAAGAAGUUGGGGAGAGGGCUUCUUCUCUCACCAGCUGGAUAACUUUAAAAGCUUGAAUCUACAAUUCCUCAGCUGUUGAAUUGAGAAAAUUAUAAUAAUGUCUACUUCAUGGAAUGGUUGUAAGAUUUAAUGAGUUUAUACAUGAAGGGUGAUUACAGGAGUCUCUGGCAUGUUU